rnacentral:lncRNA from 1 species
AUGCUCCAAAAGCUACCACUGAAGCCUUGACAGUAGGAAGCUGUCUCCACAAUGCCUUGAGGCCUCUCUGGCAGACCAUCUAUUCCAAACUUAACUAGAGGACUUCCAGUUCCUCAGAAGCUGCUGACGUUUCUGCCUCCACCUAUGCCACCUGCUCCGCCUUGAAAGCGCUUCCGGCUCUCCACCUUCUCCACCUUCAGCACAGCCAUGAUGUGUGAACUUCUCCAGAGCAGAAUCCUCCACCUUCCUGCCUGGGGGCAGAAUAAGCCUGGCUAUCCCUCUUCUGGAACUGAGUAGGGGAAGCAACCUUUGAGGCUGCACCAUCCAGAGUGUAGACUUUCACUUAAGACUAAGAGCAGGGACUCCCACAUUCAAAACCUAGUUCCACCAAUUCCUCAUUUUAAGAUCUCCAGCAAUUUACUCCAGUUUCCUCAUCUAUAAAAAGGAGAUCGUAAUAGUGUCUGCCUACCACAUAUGGAUUUUAUGUGGAUUAAAUGAGAUAAUCCACAUAAUAAAUGAUGGCCAGCGUAGAGCAGGCGUUCGAUAAAUGUAAACUGUCACCAGAAGUUGCAUAAUCUGAGUGCUCCCCUUCAGAGACAUCGUCCUGGGAGGAUGUCGUCUUCUCCAUCAAAGCCUUCACUCCUUGCACUGCCAAAGCCCCUCUGUGAUGCUGUGGCUUCCAGAAUCAGUGGAUGAGCCCCACUAGAAAAAUCUACUCAUCACUCAUGAUUACCCCUUGUGCAUCCCAGCAUGAGUGUGACCUAGUGCUUGAACAUCCUUAUUCACCAGAUUUGACUCAAGUUUGAUUCCGAAAUCAAACGUGCACCCAGUGAAGUGCUCCUUCUGAGAAUAAUCAAAACCAACAUUGUGACAGAGGCUGCUGGCUAGGCUGUGAUAUUUCCUCUUUCUUCUGUAGUAACAGAACCACAGCGUUUAGCUGGGCACCUGGUAUUGAGAAUAAAAAUCUUAUUCGCAGCCUUCCUUGCAGCCAGAAAUGGCCAUGAGAUGAAGUUCUAGCCAAUGGGAUCUGAGUGCAAACUGUGUUUUCCAAGGGAUUCCCUUACAGAGAGAGGCCAAGCUUUCUCUUCCCCCUUCUCCCUUCACCCUAACUGGCAUGUGACAUGGCAGACAUGGGAUGUAGAAUAUGGAAACCUCUUCUCUCCAUGUUAACGCACUCAACAUUCUAGAAAAAGCAGAGCAGAAGGAAGGAAACAGCAUUUCUGAUGCCAUGUGUCAUUACAGCAGCCCUGGACUGCUUCCACCCAGGCUAUGUGUUUAAACCAUGACUAUCUGGGGUCUCUUAUGACAACCAAACCUAUGUUUCAACUAUUAAUAAUUCAUAUAUGUAACCGCUUCUAAAAGCAUCUGCAAAAGAAAAGCUUAAACUAUGUUUUAAGCAAGGAUAACACUGUAUGGAUUUUCCCAAAGUGACUUAUUAAAGAACACUCAUUGAGCUGGAGUAUUUGUGUGCUGUUUGUUUAAUUAGUCACACAGUUAAUCGUUACAUCUCCUGAAAUAGGAAGAAAAAGCAACCCAAUGGUCUAAAUCCACCAAUAUCACCUAGACACAUUCAGUGACAUUUAGAAUAUUUUAUUCUAACAAACUUUUUGAACACCACAGUUGGAAGAAUAGAGAUCAUUCCAACAGGUCAAGCACUGGCCCAGCUGCUGGGAGAUCGGAUCUGCUGAUCCAGCCCUGCCGAGGGCAGCAAGACCUGCUGGGCCUCGCUUUCUGCAUCUGUAGAUACUAAGGCUGAGGGACUUGGAUGGGGCCAGGGACCAAAACCCUACAAACCAAAGAAAGAAAUGGUCCAAAAGUAGCAACUCAAAGGAGAAAGAAAACUACUAAGAACACAAAAUGAAAAACCGAAACUCAAAAGAGUUGUCCAUCAGACUGCUUUAUAACCAUGUGUCCCCAGUUGGCACACAAACCUGUCCUGGAACAAGCCCACAGUUCUCAUCAGCGCUCAUCAGUGGCCACAUAUCCCUCUCUCCAAGGUCACUAGACCCGGUGUUGAGGGGCUGGAAGGGGAAGGACGGCAGUGGCAAUGGGGUCAACAGAGUCCCAUCUCUUGGCUUAUUGAUGGGCAUUAACAUUCUUCCAAACACUCAGACCUCAAAUUCAAGUUCCUGAACCCAGAGAGCCAGUCCUCACUUUUAGGGGUCUUUACUGCCAUUUCUUUUCCUCUUCCACUAGGCUUAGAGAACACAGAGAUUGUAAAAAAAUGGGUUUUCUGCAGGAGGCAGAGGUUGCAGUGAGCUGAGACCGUGCCAUUGCACUCCAGGCUGGGUGACAAGAGGGAAACUCCGUCUCAAAAAAAAAAAAAAGAAAAGAAAAGAAAAAUGGGUUUUCUGGUGCCCUUUCUCCUCUCCACCCCAUAACAUGGGUGAAUACAUAGUAAGCACAUAGUUAACUGAAUAUAUCUUAAAUAAAUGUCUGAUCCUCUAAGAACCGAGUCACACACACACAAAAAAAAUCUACGAAGGGGACUAAGCAUACAUGUAUAUAUAUAUUUGCAGGCAAGAUGGGCCUGUGUUCACACUUGGAAGGCCAAACCUUGCCCAGUGCGGUCAUUUCUCCACUUCAGUUGCUGAACAACUACAGCAUUUCCUAAAGGAGCUCUCACACCGAGAGACUCACUGGCUCACAGCCUCCAGCAUGAGCUACAUGAAAGAGACCACCGCCAAGGAGUGACUCAAACAAGAAGCCAGGGCGCCCCGUGGCCACAUCCUCACUGCAGAGGCAUCUGUGAGAGCAGAGCCUGGGGCUGCUCCCCCUCACUUCCAAAGAACAGGAGGGGCCAUGGGGACUCAAUGAAAAGUCCUUUGAUCACGACCAGGAUAUGCUGGCACUAUAAGGACCAAAGUCCCUCACCACAGCAAAUACGAACCCUCUUGAUACCCACUCAUGUGUUCCUGAGCUUCUGUUUCCCCUGGAGAUUCCCUCCUACUUUGGGCACGAGGUCCCUUCCUCGGUCACAAGGUACCGAGUCUCUCCAGUCCUAGUUCUAUCCUUCAUCACACAGAAAAGAAGAAUCAACAGUCAAGAGCCCAGCUACCUCUACAUCCUUUACUUUUUGCUUUCAAUUCUGAUCAUCUCCAGAUGGAAGACACAAAUCAGAUCCCUAGUACAGAUUCUCUAACACCCUCAUUCCAAAGCUCAUCAGUUAUAACAAGUUAAUUCCAACCAAGUUCCCCAUCCUGGGGCGCAGCAGAUUGUUUUUCUGAAGAUGGCUAUGCCAAUGUGGUUCCCAUUCCAUGUGCAUCUCUCUCAGUGUGACCCUGACAUUCCGUCACUGACAGUGGGUCUGGUUUCCCUUCCCUUGAACCUGGGCAGACCUCUGCAACUUCUUUGACCAAGAGAGAAUGUGGCAAAAGUGAUGCAGCACACCUCCUGAGGCUGGGUCACACAAGGCAAAUCGGCUUCCACCUGGUUGGCUCUUGGGACAUGUGCCUUUAGAGCCCAGAGCCAUCACUGAAGACGUCUGGCAACUGCAAGGCCACCAUGCUAGAGGGAUGAGGUGGAAAGACUACGAGAAGAGAGAUGGACAAACAGCCCCAUCUGUUCCAGCCCCCGGUUGUUCAAGGGUUCCCUGACCAGGCACCAUGUGAGGAAGAAGCCUGUGAGAUGACCCUAGCCCCAGCAACCCUCCAACUGUAACCCCAUGAGGGACCCUGGGCCAGAACCACCCAGAUGAGGGGCUCCCAAACUCCUGCCCCACCGAAACCAUAAGCAAUAAAGAGCGAUUACUGCUGUUUUAGGCCACUGUGUUUUGGGAUGAUUUUCUGUGCAGCCACAGUGACUGAAACAUGGGAACUUUAGUAGACGUGGCUCCUUCUCUCAAAAUAGCAAUUUACCUCCUCCAGGGUAGGUUUAGAACAUCUUGUCAGUGUUUAAUUUCACAACUCUACUUCCUAGUAGAGUAAAUGGCACCUUUAAAAAAAAAAGUAAGAGUUUAAUUUUUUACUUCAAGCUCUUAAGAAUUUCACAAUACCUCUUUCAAGGUCACUCUGGAGACCUCGCAGCAUCUCACACAGGAGUUGGGCAGUCGCCAUGGCUAGAAGUGCAUGGCCUCCUGUGCUUCCAAAGGGCAGACCCCACGUGGGGGAACACUGGCAGGGCUGGGCAAGAUUUGGGCUUCUCCCCUCCCUCUCCAGCAAUCUUGCCCUGAUACUACCCUUCCUCUACCACAACAGCCACGCCUACAGAGCAGGCUUCUGAAAAACCACAAUCAGGCACACUUGUCAAUACAUAAAAGCAAAACAGCACUGGUGACGUUCAUCAAAUUCACUGAGAGCUGCUGGAAUACCAUGGCUGUGGGCAACAGCAGCAAAUGACACAGAAAGGUGCAUUAAUGAGCUCAGGCAAGAGGAAAGAAGGCAUGUCAUGGGACCCCAGAGCUUCGAUUUCAGAAAACCAAAGACUUGGCCUUUUAACUGAGUUUGGCUGGAAUCUGAGAUCACCUGCUCCCCAUUUGUAACUGGAAACCUUUCCAUAAAGAGCCAAUUACUUGACAUUAAAGUCCCCGAUUUUAAAGGACUUUGAAACCAACACCACAUAAGUGCUUGCAUAAACAAAAUGUCAGCUUGUGAUAUUCUGGCUCAUGUCUUUUCUUUCAAGCACUGCCCCGUUCUUCCUAUCAGCU